rnacentral:sRNA from 1 species
UUAACUUCCUUGUUGCUAUGGAGACUCACUGGCUCAGAUCCGGCCCCAUCUCAACUCUCUACUCCAAGCCCAGUUUCAGUUGAUUUAGCCUUUGCCCCAGUCCCAGACUAAGUCUCAUGUGAGUGCCAGUGCGGGGCCUGUACCCAGCCACGUCUCUCAGACAGGAGUAAUGAAGAACCAGGCUCAAGUCUACUCUUAGGCUCAAAGGUCAACAGAUUCUUCAAUAGUAGGUUAGGAGAUACUCUGCUCAUUGCAAAUGUUGAGCAUCAUUUCCUGCCUUGAACCCCUGAAUGUCAGCAACACCUCUCAUCCAAGGGACUUUUCUCAACAGUGGGUGCAUUAAACAGUCCUGAAUCUAGGGGAACUAAAUGUCAGAGUCUAGAGGAGUUGAGAGGUGCAGAGGACAGUGGUGUGACAGAGGUGAGCUCCAGACUACAGGACACUCCCCUUAGAAGGCUGAAGACUUGACCCCAAGCUCCAAGGAAAUCACCAUGAGUGACCUUUGCUUACUUCGAGGCCUUAUCCUGGUACCUGAUGUAGUUCAGUAGCCUCUGAAUUGAGUUUGCCUUUGUUUGAAGUCAUAUUUUCACAUUUCAUCCGAUGCUAUUUAUCUUCCACCAAAAAGUCACACCUAAACUUUCCAGAUGCCCAGUCGCAGACUUCCCAGGGUGAUCACACUCGUGUGCACAGUCUAUCAUUGUGCAAGCUCACACUCGAGAAUGGAUGUCAAAAGACGCUUUCAUGAACCUAAAAAACAAUGAAGUUAAGUUGAACUUGUUGCUUAAUUGAGCCAUAUUCCAGAACCAUUUUUUGAGAAAGGUUCCUACGAAUCUUGACCAAACUAGGAAACCCUGCCGCACCCUGCACUCUGAAGGCAAGUUACGUGCUUUUGCUGCCCUCUUGUGGUCUUUAUUUCUCACUGCAAUGUCCCCGACAGCAAAAGUAUUUCAAGUCCUCAGCAGGCUAUUUGAUAAUGGGAAUUUAGAAUAACAGUCUAAAUAAUUUAGAAUAAUUAAGAAAAUAUCCUAACAUAUUUUUCAACAAUAAGCUUAUGAUUUGUGUUACGGAGCCCCAUGUAGUUAAUUUAAAUAUUUCCUCAUGUGCGUUGCCAAGAAGAUUGCCCAGAGAAACGUGGAGACAUUUUUACACCAGAAAAUAGACCAAAUUUGCAAGAAUUGUAAUUCGGCUAGUAACUGGGCAUGAGGAGGCUUUGCUGGUGAAUUAACAUCAUCUUCUAAAUUAAGUACUUCAUAAAAGAAAUUCUGGAGUAAGCGUUCAUCCUUUGUAAUGAAGUUCCUCUUGUGCCUCUUCUGCC